rnacentral:rRNA from 1 species
GUACACGCUGUGACUAGCAUAUCAAUAAGCGGAGGAAAAGAAACUAACAAGGAUUCCCCUAGUAACGGCGAGUGAAGCGGGAAGAGCUCAAAUUUGAAAUCUUAAAGGGUUUCCCUUUACGAAUUGUAGUUUAAAGAAGUGUUUUCUGUUGAGGUUUUGGUAAAAGUUCUUUGGAAUAGGACAUCAUAGAGGGUGAGAAUCCCGUAUUUGACCUUUACUUUCAACUUUGUGAUACACUUUCAAAGAGUCGGAUUGUUUGGGAAUGCAGUCCAAAAUGGGUGGUAAAUUUCAUCUAAAGCUAAAUAUUGGCGAGAGACCGAUAGCGAACAAGUACCGUGAGGGAAAGAUGAAAAGAACUUUGAAAAGAGAGUUAAACAGUACGUGAAAUUGUCAAAAGGGAAGCGUUUGACACCAGUGUUGUUUUUCCUGAAAAUCAAUUAAAGAACUGUUUAUGCUAAGUUGUUUAGACUUUAUCAGCUAACUGUUUAGUUUUGAGCUUUUCUUUAAUGCACUUUUCAGUUAACAAGUCAACAUCAAUUUCUUUUGCUGUAAAAAAGCUUGAGGAAGGUGGCUUGAGAUUCGUCUUAAGUGUUUAUAGCCUCUUGCCUAUGCAGUCGGAGAGAUUGAGGUCUGCAGCGUAGAUCCUUCGGGGCUAAAUGCAUUUGUGCUAAGUUAUAGCAUUUUAUAGACAACUUGUUGACUAUGAUUUGUCUUGUAGCUUACUCGCUUAUGUUAUUUUACCUACGCUUAGGAUGUUGACAGCAGUAUAGACUGU